AGAGUUUGAUCCUGGCUCAGAACGAACGCUGGCGGCAGGCCUAACACAUGCAAGUCGAGCGCCCCGCAAGGGGAGCGGCGGACGGGUGAGUAACGCGUGGGAACGUACCCCUUUCUACGGAAUAGCCUCGGGAAACUGGGAGUAAUACCGUAUAAGCCCUACGGGGGAAAGAUUUAUCGGGAAGGGAUCGGCCCGCGUUGGAUUAGGUAGUUGGUGGGGUAAUGGCCUACCAAGCCGACGAUCCAUAGCUGGUUUGAGAGGAUGAUCAGCCACACUGGGACUGAGACACGGCCCAGACUCCUACGGGAGGCAGCAGUGGGGAAUCUUAGACAAUGGGCGCAAGCCUGAUCUAGCCAUGCCGCGUGAGCGAUGAAGGCCUUAGGGUUGUAAAGCUCUUUCAGUGGGGAAGAUAAUGACUGUACCCACAGAAGAAGCCCCGGCUAACUCCGUGCCAGCAGCCGCGGUAAUACGGAGGGGGCUAGCGUUGUUCGGAAUUACUGGGCGUAAAGCGCACGUAGGCGGACCGGAAAGUCAGAGGUGAAAUCCCAGGGCUCAACCUUGGAACUG
rnacentral:rRNA from 1 species